UGGGGAAUAUUGCACAAUGGGGGAAACCCUGAUGCAGCGACGCCGCGUGAGCGAAGAAGUAUUUCGGUAUGUAAAACUCUAUCAGCAGGGAAGAAGAAUGACGGUACCUGACUAAGAAGCACCGGCUAAAUACGUGCCAGCAGCCGCGGUAAUACGUAUGGUGCAAGCGUUAUCCGGAUUUACUGGGUGUAAAGGGAGCGCAGGCGGUGCGGCAAGUCUGAUGUGAAAGCCCGGGGCUCAACCCCGGUACUGCAUUGGAAACUGUCGUACUAGAGUGUCGGAGGGGUAAGUGGAAUUCCUAGUGUAGCGGUGAAAUGCGUAGAUAUUAGGAGGAACACCAGUGGCGAAGGCGGCUUUCUGGACUGAAACUGACACUGAGGCACGAAAGCGUGGGUAGCAAACAGGAUUAGAUACCCUGGUAGU
rnacentral:rRNA from 1 species